UAAGUAGUGCAGUUCGCAAUCAGUACUUUAGUUUACAUUCUUUGUCUUGCAGUUAAAUUUUCAAUUACAUCGAAUAGCAUGCAUGUAUAAAAUUUCUCCUACGCUAAUAUUUGUUUAAUCUAUAGUCUAUAUUCAAAGAAUGCCACAGUAUGUUGUGGCAUAACAGCAUAGUACAAAAAAACCUUGGUUUUUAAGAUAAUAUCAAGCUAACUCUAAUUUGAUUUGGUUGGACAAAUCACGGACACAAACGAGUUGAAAAUGUGACUGAAGCUUUUAACAUUUUUUUAACAUUGGAGUUCCAAGGAUAAUGAACGAGAUUUCCGUACGUUGGGACCCGAGAAGCUAAAACUGCCAGCAAUUUUAGUUAUUUAUUCCAAUUGCCCGUAAACAAAAAUACAUAAAUGUUUUGUUUUUGUUGUUCACAAUAACUUACUACAAACAAAUGUUAUUAUCUUGAGAUCAAAGGUUAAUUUUACGUACAAA